UACGAAGGGGGCUAGCGUUGCUCGGAAUUACUGGGCGUAAAGCGCACGUAGGCGGAUCUUUAAGUCAGGGGUGAAAUCCUGGAGCUCAACUCCAGAACUGCCUUUGAUACUGAGGACCUUGAGUUCGGGAGAGGUGAGUGGAACUGCGAGUGUAGCGGUGAAAUGCGCAGAUAUCGGGAAGAACACCCGUGGCGAAGGCGGCUCUCUGGGACGGUACUGACGCUGAGACGCGAAAGCGUGGGGAGCGAACAGG
rnacentral:rRNA from 1 species